GAAGUCUCUUUUCUCCAUUAUGUACGUGCGACUUUAUCGUUUAUGGGUGAACACAUUACGAGAUUAUUCAAUUUUAACAAGAUAACCAAAGGGGAAGGCUGUUGGAAGUAACAAUCAUGAAAGUGAACCAGCUCUUAGCAAACGAAUGAGACGAACGGUGAGGUAGACAGAAGAGUCUUCACAGUUCAAAAGAUUUCUGAAAACAAGAACCAUCGGCCUUCUUUUUACUCUGCUGUGAGGACACUAUCUGACCCCACUUGAACAUUUUUUGGUUGAUUUUUAUGUGUAUGAGUGUUUUGCCUGCAUUAUGUUGUUUUCAUCACAUCAUCUAUAUUUGUGGCAAUCACUAUAAGUCAGAGUUGAAUAGAAUCCAUCGUAUCAUCAUCGCCACCAUCAUUGUCAUCAAAAUAAUCAUCAUACCAUGAUGGAUAUCACAUCGUGAAAAAAAAAAAACCCUUUCAUGUUCUAUAGGAACUUAUUUCAAUUGAAUGAUAGUCUUUUAUUUUAUUUAAAACUGUAUAUUACUAAAAUAAUAUUAUAUUUUGUUCAUCCACCAGAGGGAGCCUCCCAAUCUAUGGAUUCCAAAAAGAAAUAGGACUGAAAUAAAUAAGUGGCAAUUUUAUAUAUUUUUGGCUUGACAAUCAAAAACUCAAUCCAUUCCAUUUCAUGUGCUCAGACCCACAUGAGGACUUUCAAACAGAAAGUGCCUACAGUUUCCUACUACACAGCCCACAUCGUUCUGCUUAACAGUUUCCAUAUAGAAGUCUAUGUUUUCAUAUGGUUUACUUUUAGUUUGAGUCCUUCUGUUACAUUUAAAUGUUAAUUCUACAUUUAAUUUUGAAUGAAAAUUGAACUCUUAUUUGGAAAUAUAUUUUUCCUAUACUUCCUUUAGCUCUGAGUAUUUCUCAAGUUGUAUUUUUACAUAAUCAAAUUUAUGAUGCUUAUCUGUAUUUUUUUCUGCAACCAAAAUUCAGGACUUGCUAUACCUUCUUCUUUUCUUAUGUCUUUAUUUUGAUACAUGGCCUGACUGGCCAGGUUUCAUUGUCAAAUAUUUAAGAGGAGUCCUGGGUUAAUCAGAGUCCUUAAUAUUUUUCAUAUUUGGAAAUGUCAGAGCCUUCUACAUGUAUGACAAAUAGGGUGAGAAAGAUAUUGUCAGGUGGUUUCUUUCCACUCAUCUAUGAUUUCAUUUUCUCCCAGGGAGAAUCAAGUGUUUCAAAACUUUUCCACAAACAUUAGGUUCAUGUGGAAUGGGGAGGGAAAUUAUCCAACUGUUUCCUGCAGGCACAGCUGUCUGUCUCCCAUUAUUGUGAUGAGUCGAGGACCUCCCAGAACUAUCCUUUGGAAUGUCAAGUACCUUAGGUUAAGAAAAUUAUCCAAGCCCAUGGAGCAGAUGAGUGAAACCUGGGAACAGAUCCAAGACUUUGAACUGCUGGGUUGACAUUUGUCUUCCCUUGCUUCACAGAGCGGCAUGCUGGCCUACUCCUUCCCAUCACACUUAGUUAAAAUCGGCUAUUUAAACUCUCAUUCCUAAACUGAAGUUAAUAGAAUCUCACUACCCUUCCUAAAGUAUUGUCUCAGUAGAAAAAUGAAUUAUGAAUAAUGAAUAGAGGUGAAACAGAUUCAUUGAGUCAGUAUUGAUACGUUUUUCCUUCACUUUCCUUAGUCUCUUAUUGUUCCGAAGCUGCUCACAAAUGUGCAAUGUGUCAACAAAAUGUUUCAAUAAAAAAACCACCUGAACAUAAAUAUUUUGAACAAAGUAUUUGAUGCCUACAUAACUGCAUUUAACUAUAUAUGUAUCUCUAUGUGGGAAUUAAAAAUCUAUUUAUAAAUGAAGUAAAAUAUGAAGUAUACAAAGCCACUGUUUAAAUUUUCCCCACAAAGCACAGCUACUCUCCUACAAAUAUGUAUUUAACCAUUUGAUUGACAUUGGCCUUCAAGAAGUCAAAUUUGCUUACUUAUUUUCCAGCUAAGAAAUUUAAGAAAUAAUAUGAGCUGUCAGAUACAAAGGAAGUUGGUAGACUAUCUACACUACUGAGAUUUUCCCCUGGGCCAGUUGCUUUGCCAUCUGCAGUCACAGAUGUCCAGUAGCAUGCCAGUCAGGCCCUGCAGCGCAUGACUACUUUGAAGUAUGGAGCAUCCAGGUUCUACCCCCUUCCCCACUCUCUGCUCCUCCAUUGCCUCUGUCAUACCUCCUGAAACAGCUAAAGGGCUGGUUUUGUAUGCUGUCCUUAACACAUGCAUACUUUACUAUAGACACAUGACUGCUGCCUCUUCAGCUUACCACAGGGGGCAGCCAUUGACUGAUAAAGUGUUUUAAGAAACAAAUUCCUAAGGAAAAGCAGAGAUAUACAAUAAAAUAAACAUACUUCCAAUGCCAUCUUUAAUUAAUAGUGAAUUGCAUCAGAAAGGGUUUAUUUCACUUAUUUAAAAAUAAACAACUUUAAUGCUGAAGAUGUAUGAAUGUAAGCAUUAAUGAAACUAUGGUGAUUUAAAGAUUUUGCCCUGGAAAACAAUUUCUAGAUAUGUAUGUUUUUAUUUCAGAUUUACUAGUUCUACGAAUUUAUUUCAGUCAAAUAUCCCAGCUUUGUCACAGUUUCACAAAUGAUCAAUGCAGUCUCAAAAAACAUCUUUCCCAAAGGAGAAGGUGCUAGAAGCAUUCAUUGUAGCUUGGCUUGGGUUUGGUCUUUUCACUCUUUGCUCUAUCUGGAUGAAAGUGCAUAAAGCUCAGUUACUCUUAUUGAGCUGAGAUACAUGCACAAUUCAAAGCCUUUGACACUGUGAAGGAAAGUGAAACCUCACUGUCUGUGAUUGAUGAGCACAGACUCGCCUAUAUUAUCCUCAUUUUUGUUUUGCAUGAUGACAGCUACCUGGACCCUGGAACUCACCUAAGUUCAGCAUUUCUACUUACCAAAUUAUGUUAGAUAUUCUGUUUAAUUUUCUGUGCCUCAGUUUACUUAUUAAUAAAAUGGAAUUACAAUUUC